GACGAACGCUGGCGGCGUGCCUAAUACAUGCAAGUCGAACGGACAGGCCCUGCUCUUGUUGGGUGCUCGAGAGGCGAACGCGUGAGUAUCACGCGUGUAACCUGUACCUGACAUUGGGAUAACACCUCGAAAAACCGUAUCUUACCGGAUAGAAUCUCUUGAUCCACGGUGGGCGUUGGUAAGAUUCGGCGGUUGGGGAUCGACUGGCGGCUUAUCCGCUUGUUGGUGGGGUAGUGGCGUACCAAGGCUUUGACGGGUAGCCGGCCUGAGAGGGGGACCGGCGACAUUGGGACUGAGGGACGGCGCAGACGCCUACGGGAGGCAGCAGUGGAGAAUAUUACACAAUGGGCGGAAGCCUGAGACAGCAACGCCGCGUGCGGAAUGACGGGCUACGGGUUGUAAACCGCUUUCGCCGGUAACGUAGAGUGAGUGACGGUAAUGGGUAAGGAAGCACCGGCUAACUACGUG
rnacentral:rRNA from 1 species